AAUGUAAAUAUCAGGGUUCAUUAAGAUUAAAGUGUAUAUUGUGUUGUGAAAUAUGACCGUAGUGCACACUAUGUUCUAUGAACAAAGCAAGCAGUCCUAUGGAGCAGGAAUAUAGCAAUUCAGAGAAG